AUUGAACGCUGGCGGCAGGCCUAACACAUGCAAGUCGAGCGGAUGAAGGGAGCUUGCUCCUGGAUUCAGCGGCGGACGGGUGAGUAAUGCCUAGGAAUCUGCCUGGUAGUGGGGGAUAACGUCCGUAAACGGGCGCUAAUACCGCAUACGUCCUGAGGGUGAAAGUGGGGGAUCUUCGGACCUCACGCUAUCAGAUGAGCCUAGGUCGGAUUAGCUAGUUGGUGGGGUAAAGGCCUACCAAGGCGACGAUCCGUAACUGGUCUGAGAGGAUGAUCAGUCACACUGGAACUGAGACACGGUCCAGACUCCUACGGGAGGCAGCAGUGGGGAAUAUUGGACAAUGGGCGAAAGCCUGAUCCAGCCAUGCCGCGUGUGUGAAGAAGGUAUUCGGAUUGUAAAGCACUUUAAGUUGGGAGGAAGGGAAGUAAGUUAAUACCUUGCUGUUUUGACGUUACCAACAGAAUAAGCACCGGCUAACUUCGUG
rnacentral:rRNA from 1 species